CGAACGGGUGAGUAAUGCGUGACCAACCUGCCCCCAUGCUCCAGAAUAGCUCUUGGAAACGGGUGGUAAUGCUGGAUGCUCCAACUUGACGCAUGUCUUGUUGGGAAAGUGUUUAGUGGCAUGGGAUGGGGUCGCGUUCUAUCAGCUUGUAGGCGGGGUAAUGGCCCACCUAGGCUUCGACGGGUAGCCGGCCUGAGAGGGCGGACGGCCACAUUGGGACUGAGAUACGGCCCAGACUCCUAGGGAGGCAGCAGGA
rnacentral:rRNA from 1 species